UAGGGAAGUCUUCCACAAUGGGCGAAAGCCUGAUGGAGCAACGCCGCGUGUGUGAUGAAGGCUUUCGGGUCGUAAAGCACUGUUGUAUGGGAAGAACAGCUAGAAUAGGAAAUGAUUUUAGUUUGACGGUACCAUACCAGAAAGGGACGGCUAAAUACGUGCCAG
rnacentral:rRNA from 1 species